CUUUUGUAGACAGUUUAUUCAGAUUCAUUUAUGGAUAUUAUUGUGUUUUGAAACACAAAAUAUACAACCAUGUUAUUUUGUUUAUAUACUUUUUCACCAUCACAGAAUGUUUUUCUUAGAGUAUGAUGCAAAAUUUAAUCCAAUUCAGACGGUCAAGGUGUAAUAAUAUGUAAAUUUAUUAAAAAGAAUAUAGAGAACAGAAACCACAAAUCAUAACUUGGAAAUAAAGUUCUGAAUAAUAAUAACAACCUUCAAAUAUAGAAAAUGUAAAUCCAAUGUACAUUUUUAAUAACAAUCCAUUUAUGAUGGAUUGAACCCAACCAGUAUUAAUCAAAACAUUAAUAAAAUUGUAAGUAAAACAUAAACAAUUAUUCUGUUCGAAUCAAAAGUACCAAAAUAUUAGUAUUAAAAUAUUAAAGUAUCAGAGUAUCAAAGUAUCUGAAUUUCAAGGUAUCUGAAUUUGAAUAAAAACCUGUAAGAGUUCUAAGUCUGAGUGUAAGAGUUGUCGAGUGAAGCCAAAGAAGAGGAAGUGAGCUGAAAAGAUAGAGAGACCAGAGUCUCAGAAAGUCAAACCCUAUUCUAUUUUGCAGAGUCUAUCUUAUAUACUGUUGUUCUAGACAUAAGUCGUCAUCUGGCUAUCACUAAUAACACCUGACCUUUAAAAAUAGUCCAGUCAAUGUCUCGAUUUUGGACUUCUUCCUCUUUUAGAUUCAAAGUAUCAUACAGAUAAUUCUAAGAAAUAUUGAUACAAAAGAACAAUACGUGCAGUUCAACUUCAUAUGCAAAACAGACUCAGCUGACUACGCAGUUAGAAAUACUGUGAAAUUACAUAUGAAAUAUACCAUAAAGUUUACCAAAAACAUUUUUGAAUAUAAAAAUGAAACCUGUUUAUAUAUAUAUAUAUAUAUGAGACCGAUCACUACCAUGAAAUAUUAAUUUUUAACUUUUGAAAUGAAACUUAUCCUUAUGAAUAGAACACAUUUUGAGUACGUGACUUCUCAGAAUCUCUCAACAACACUUGGGUUUAAUUUAAAUACAUGGACUUCUUCUCAGAAUCUCUAUCACCAUGUGGAUUUCUUAGAAUCUCCACACACCAAUCCCCCACUCGAGUCUUAUCAAAAGACUCGCCACAACCUUUUCCUUAAAUCAAAACCAAAAAUACAGAAAUACAGAGUAAUUCAAAAGGAAAAAUACAUGAUACAUACAUGAAAAUAUAGAAAAUUAAUAGCAAGAUUUCAGAUAGAUAGUACUGUAGAUACCUCUCUAACCCCAGCUACCUUGAAAUUAACAAAGAUCUUCACCAAGAUGGCCAGACGAGAACUCCUAAGGAAAUUCGACCCCUGGCGUCCCCUGGACUUUUGCUGGGUUGAGGACUUACCACAGCCUUCCAUCUUUCCCAACUCUAAACUCUAUCAUCGUUCUUUCUCUUCUUGCCCUUGGCAGAUAGUAGUUGAAGAUAUUUGUCCUUAUGGUACCAUGUCGUUAAUUUCCAAACUUUUGUUGAUCGUUUUCAACAUCUCAUACCUUUCCUUACCCUUCACCUGCAAGGUAUAGAUUUCCUCAUGACUACUGGUAUAAAUGGGAGAAUAAAAAUAUAUUUUGAUCUAUAUGUAAAUCUAUAUAUAUCAGCUGGUAGACUUUAGCACAGGUCUCUCAGAUGACGUAGAAUUAGUUAACGAGUGAUAUUAUGAUGAUGCGAUGAAACACUGAUGUCCAGCCACGAGCACAGCAACCACUCCCAGAAUGUCAAUGAGCUGCACUGUUGCAGAAGUCACAUCGAAGAGUCACCCUUAGAACCAGUCGUGUGUGGUAAAUAUAUGCAGAAUAUUUCUGUGACAGCAUGCACUCGCACCUAUUAGAGAUAUAGAAUAGUAGGAGCAGAAAUAUUUGGAUAAAAACACAACAAAUACACACACAUAACAACACAUAGACAAACUAAACAGGACAAUACCAGUACACAUAAACAUAAACACCAUGGUUUUCAGUUUCUCUUUUUUUAUAUAUAUAUAUAUAUAUUAAACACAAUAGGUCCGGAUGGAAUCAUAGUUGAAAACCUAAAGAGAGGAAACAAUUAGUCAUUGUUCUUCCUUAGCAGCCAUUCCUUGGAUAUAAAAUACUGCACCUGUUGGACUAAAUCACAUUAGAAAGAGAGUUAGUAUCAGCAAGCGGCGACAGAGGCUUCACUUGUGCAAGUUGCAUCCAUCGAGUCAGCCCUGGCUCGAUUUCAACAAGAAGAAAUGUUGGAGUAGUCAACAACACCGAAUGAGGACCCUCAUACCUGAAGGACAUUGGUCCUAAGUUCCCUAUUUUCUGUAUCAUCACUUCGUCCCCCACUUGUACGUGAUUUUUAACCUUUACAUUGAAUAUAGUGUUUUUAAGAUCUCCAGCAUGUUGAGCACUGAGGGCACUGAAAUGGGCAUUCUUUAAUGCGCACGUGAGUACUUUAAGAUACUCCUGUAAAGUGUCCUUCAAUGAACCCGAGGGACCUACGAGCAAUAAUGGAGCUGUAGGGGAAUGUACUGUUAAAACCCAGAGACCUUUUUAGAAAGAAAUUUGACUUAUUUGUAUUUUUCUUUUUAUAUGUCUUAUACAACUAUGAUGAAUUUUGAUUAAUUUGUUAUAUCGUAAAAUAAAUUAAUUGCCAUAAACAUAUAUAUGUAUUAUUCUCUGGAAGCCGGGCUAAAUUAAUAAUCGCUGUUAUUGCAUUCCUGACAUAGGUCAGACCCUCAGUCACCUCACAGAUACCAAAUACAGACAUUACUUAUAACCUAAAUCCCAGUAAAGAUACCCAUAUUUUAUGAAAAUUUAUCAUUCCCGAACCAUGGUGCAAUGAGAGGGACUGAAAAUCCAAUAUACCCUUUCAGAGCAUCUGGAAAAUUUACAAACGAGAACCAGUACAUGUUUGUACCCAUGAUCAGAAGGUAACAAAGUAAAAUCCAAAUGCAAAUGUGUGAAUGGUCCUCACGGGCGAGGACUAUGACCAAUUGGGAUUUUAACUUUUCCAAAUUAUGGCUUCGUUUGCAAACAGUGGAUACAUCUGGAAAGUCUUAUCCUUCACAGUUUGUAACAUCUCCGGCUAAAACCAUGUUUGUUGCAACAUAGCAUGUGUUUUCUGAACCCCUGGGUGUGCAAUGCUCUGGUACAGAUCAAUUAGUUCAGUUUGGUUUGAUAUCCGCUAAGCGGAAUGACUUUGUCAUUCAGGGCAUAAACCCCUUCUUCAGUUACGGUAGCUCCUAAUUUUUGACACAUUUCACGAUCCUCAGCUGUGUACAGUUUAGAUAAAGUUUCGGAACCCGUGCAGUCAGGAUGAACAGGGAAGAUGACAGCCACUUCCUCAAGUACCACACCCUUUGCAGCCUCUCUCGCAGCCUUAUCAGCUAGAGAGUUUCCUUUCGCCAACCAAUCAUUGAAAGUGCUGUGACCCGUGACUUUACAUACUGCAACACUGUUUGGUGGAAUUUCCUCACACGUGUCAAGAAUUUCUUUAAUUAUGGUUUGAUGACUUAUUGGCAUACCCGCUGUGGUCAAAUAACCACGACGUUUCCAAACAGGGCCAUAACUCUGCACUACAUGGUGGCUGUAUGCACUAUGAGUAAAAAUAUUUACAUUAGUGGAGCUAUUUUCACCUGCAGUUAGUUUAAGAGCCAGAUUUAAGACAGCUUUCAAAGCAUGCAAUUCAGCUAUCUGAGCACUUCCUCCCGAAGCGACCCCUCAGCCAAGACCUCGCCCGUCUUCCCCUCUACUACCGCCCAGCCCAUAUAGCGCGUGUCACCCUCGUAGAAACUGCUGCCAUCCACGAACAUGUCCAGAUAAUCUGAAAACGGUUAAUCUCUGACAAAAUGUCCCCUGUCACAGAUAAUUACCUCGGCGCAGUCGUGUGCACUCCCCUCAUUCUCCAUUAGGGAGGCAGAAUUUGUCCGGUUGUCUGUAACAACAGUGAGUUGAGGGUUCAUGAGAGCAGUUUCCCAUUUUGCACGUCGUUGAUUUGAAAUCGACUUUAUUUUUGUCUCUGCGAGCAUGCGUAGAAAACGAUGUGGAGAGUGAAGGAUCAUCUGAUUGUAACCGACGAUGGCCUCAGUGACCUUCAACACCCACUCAGCACAGUCCAAGGCCAUCAAACACGGCAUCUGUCCAUUCAUGGAAGAGCGAAUAAAAGUUGAAUAGUACCCAACAAUGCCAUAACUUUUGUCACCUUACAUUGUCCCAGCACACAGUUAUAAGCACUUGGGCCAACAUGUGUCCAUACAUGGAAUGUCUUUGUCAUGUCGGGGCUAAUGCGGAUUUGAGGAGAGUAAAGGACUCAGCCAUGUCUGCUGUCCACUCCAAAGGCGAAGCACCCGGAAGGCCUCCUUUAAGAGCCUCUGUUAGAGUUUUAGCCAAAUCAGAAAAAUCUUGGAUAUACAUCCGAUUAAAAUUAAAUAGCCCCAUUAAUGAUCUUAAACCAGUAACUGUGGUUGGCUUAUUUAAUUGAGUGAUGGCUAUGACCCGGUCUGGAAGAGGUCUCUUUCCCUCACAACCUAUACUUUGACCUAAAAAUGUAACUUCCGAUUGAAACAAUUGCACCUUUUUUGUUUGUUCAAGAGGAAACCCGCCUCUUGGAGUAUUUUCAACAACCGAGUGAGUCCACUCAAGUGUUGUGCUUUAUCUUGAGAUGCGAGAAGAAUGUCGUCACAAUAUUGAAAGGCAAAUCUGCAUUGAUCUUCUUCUCUGAUAGGACAAGACCAAAAACCAUUGGUUAUGUCUACUGCGCUAAAAUAGCGAUGGUUUGGAGAAAUAUCAUUAAGAAUGGUUGACGGAUUAGCAACAAUAGGAGUUAUUUUAGGAGUCACAGCAUUCAAUGUGGUGUAGUCUAUAGUUAACCUAUAGCUACCAUCUGGCUUUUUAUUUAUUUAUUUUUUUCACACAGGCUGCAUAGGUAAGUUCAUGGAGGAAGUACACCUUACCAAAAUCCCUGAUUCCUGAAGCUGGUUCACAAUUUCCCGUGCAGCUCUCUUUGCUUCUCUCCGAAGAGGAUACUGAAAUACUGGAGGAUGUAUAGGACCUGAAACAUUAAAAGUUCAAUCUUGCAAAGACCAACAUCAUGUUUAGAAGUUGACCACAAAUUUGGAAAUUUCUCAGCGAAAUAUUGUAUCACUGAGGAAUCAGUAGACUCCUUUUCAUUAGCUGUGAUAGCUCCAAGGCUUAAUUCAGGAGUUCCAGUUUUAUUAAAAACUGGUAUGGGAAUUGGUAAAUACUGACUAAUUAAUUGACCCCUAGUCAGCAAAACAUCUGCUUCCAAUUUACUCAAAAUAUCCAUUCCCAUUACCAUGCCAACUUGGCUUUCUCCAACCCAGAAUUGCACACAAAAAGGCUGUUCAAAUGGAUAUAUUAUUAGAGGAAUCAAUAGAGACUGUGUGAAAAGACUGCGACCAGAUAUACUUUGAAGAUGCAUUUGUUUGUUAAAGGCAAAUUAAUAUCAGUUACUGAGAUGCAGACCCGGGGGCCCACAAGAAUGUAGCUAUCCUGGCUUCCUAAGUUAGAAUGUAAAAAUGGACGAGGGUCUUCGUGCCCAUAUAAAAUGAAGGCCACUAUCUGUCAGUCUGUAUUCUCAAAAGCUCUUGUCAGUUUUUCAACCUGCUUCCAGGUCAGCACCCUGCUUCUUUGCACCAGAGUUAUUUUAAGCACAAUCUCGAGGAAGUGGUUUUGGUGUCCGCUGUUGUUGAAAAGAGGAACUAGGCUUUCUGAAAUUUCACCCUAAAUUUCGAUCAGGGCACCUGUUUGCGUAGUGACCAUCACGCUGGCAAUGAUAACAACGAAAUGCUGGAGCAGAGGCCUGGCCAACUGCAGCAAUCAGUCCCUUCUUUUGUUGUUCCACGAUGUCUUGAGCCCGUGUCACCCAUGGAACAAAAGAAGACCAGUCAAUAAUUGUUGACAGAGAAGAAUGAAACAACUGUGUAAAUUUAGCAUUCAUAUUUGACUGCGCAGUGUGGAGCAUGACUGGAGAAUCUAAGUCAGGCCCCCAUCGUGCGGCCACAAAUUCUUUCAGUGCCUUUUUGCAUCGCUCAGUGUAAUCAACAAAUGGUUCAUUAGGACCCUGCCUUAUCAUUGUCACAUUAGUGAAAGUCUGAAUUCCAUUUCCAACUGCACGCUGUACUUCAGUACGCAGCACUCUGUACUGAGUUGCGUAAUCAUCUGCAUUCGCUGGUGGCUGUAAAUGAGGGGUGAGAUGAUCUGUCCCAUGUAUGUAGACGGGCAGACUUGCUCCCAAAUUGAAUACAGAUCUUUUAUCUUUUACUGCUAGGCGGUUGGCUCUUGCCAUUACCCACAAACAAUCCCAAAAUUCAGAAUUGGUACUGUUAGAUUUCAUGAGUGGCAGUAUAUUUACAAUACUAGUCAAAUCUCGCACACCCAUAGAUCGACAAACCCCCACUUGACCAGCCGCUAUCGAUUCCUGAUCUAUUUCACUAUAGCGGGGUAAUUUUGGACGCAGUUUCACAUACUCGCCCCACUCAUCCUCAGCUUCCUCCAGGUCCCCAGGAGAAAUAGCUGCAACCUGUAUACCACCAUUCUCAGAAACAUUCGUCACAUGUCUCCCUGCCUUGGCAAUCGCUGCUUUCAAUUUUGAAGCAUAUUCCUGCCAGCUAUAAAUAUCAUCAAUUUUAGGAACUCUCCCUUUCUGCUCUUGACUCCUUAGUUACAAUGUCUAAUAAAUCCCACAUAUCUUGUGUAGCAUCUCUAGCCGCUUGUGCCAGUUUAUCCACAUAAACUAUAUUCUUCAAUUGCGAUAUGUUAAAAUACCUGCACAAUCCUCAAACAACACAAAACUCGUGCAUAUUUCUUUUGUUUCUUAGGAUCAUUAACUUCCUUCAUCAGCCCCAUUCACACUGCCUACGCGGACCCCACAUUUCUUUAAAUUUAUCUUUAGCCAUUUUCUGUUUAAUCUUUUCUUUAUUUCCGAUGCCUAACAUCGCUACUUGAGCAGUGAGAGCUUCGUUAGGAGCUCCUUUUACAUACACAUGAGCCAUUACUUUGUGUGUUGACACCCCCAACAAAGAAAAAGUUUUAUUCAAUUCAGAUACACUCAAUUAAAUACACUUAAUUAAAUUCACUUAAUUAAAAAUUGAUAAAUUUGGUGUUCUCUUUACUCUUAAUUUGUUUAAUUUGAUUAGCCGUCUGACAGUUAUAACAAUUAUACAAAAUUGAAAGCCAGUCACAACGUGGUAUUCUGCCACAUUCAAACAAUUGUCAAAAUAUAUGGAUUUAGAAUUUAGUCGCAAGGUGGAAUUCUGCCAGUGUCAAGACUGCCGAGUCCAUCCCAGAGCCUAUAUCAAAACAGAGAAUCGACAUACAGAUCUGACCAGCACGCUGCAGUAAUCCCUGACAGCGUGUGUCUCAAAAACUGUUGCGCUUCAGUAAACCCUGAAAGCGCCCGCAAUACACCUCCGGUAAACCCCGCAAAGUGUACUUGCUACGCAGAAUUAUCUACACUGUCGGUAAACCCCUUCAGUGAACAACACAUUUAAUGCCGCAAAUCGCCGUUCUCAAACACAGAGCGCGCGCUCAUUCCUCACACACGGUUAAACCACCGUACCGCCCCAAAUUCGUUCUCUUGCUGCAGUCAAGAAAAAUGAACGAAAUGGGUCCGCAGAUAUAGCUCUUAGACUCGGCAGGUUUGCACAACAGAAGCCCAUAAAGAGAAUUAGAUGAGCAACUCACCUCUCUUUAUCUUUCCUUGCGAUGCAUCAAAUAUACUUCAAGGAUCGAUCAGUAUCCCAGCGGUGCCUCCAUUAACUGAUGCAAAAUUUAAUCCAAUUCAGACGGUCAAGGUGUAAUAAUAUGUAAAUUUAUUAAAAAGAAUAUAGAGAACAGAAACCACAAAUCAUAACUUGGAAAUAAAGUUCUGAAUAAUAAUAACAACCUUCAAAUAUAGAAAAUGUAAAUCCAAUGUACAUUUUUAAUAACAAUCCAUUUAUGAUGGAUUGAACCCAACCAGUAUUAAUCAAAACAUUAAUAAAAUUGUAAGUAAAACAUAAACAAUUAUUCUGUUCGAAUCAAAAGUACCAAAAUAUUAGUAUUAAAAUAUUAAAGUAUCAGAGUAUCAAAGUAUCUGAAUUUCAAGGUAUCUGAAUUUGAAUAAAAACCUGUAAGAGUUCUAAGUCUGAGUGUAAGAGUUGUCGAGUGAAGCCAAAGAAGAGGAAGUGAGCUGAAAAGAUAGAGAGACCAGAGUCUCAGAAAGUCAAACCCUAUUCUAUUUUGCAGAGUCUAUCUUAUAUACUGUUGUUCUAGACAUAAGUCGUCAUCUGGCUAUCACUAAUAACACCUGACCUUUAAAAAUAGUCCAGUCAAUGUCUCGAUUUUGGACUUCUUCCUCUUUUAGAUUCAAAGUAUCAUACAGAUAAUUCUAAGAAAUAUUGAUACAAAAGAACAAUACGUGCAGUUCAACUUCAUAUGCAAAACAGACUCAGCUGACUACGCAGUUAGAAAUACUGUGAAAUUACAUAUGAAAUAUACCAUAAAGUUUACCAAAAACAUUUUUGAAUAUAAAAAUGAAACCUGUUUAUAUAUAUAUAUAUAUGAGACCGAUCACUACCAUGAAAUAUUAAUUUUUAACUUUUGAAAUGAAACUUAUCCUUAUGAAUAGAACACAUUUUGAGUACGUGACUUCUCAGAAUCUCUCAACAACACUUGGGUUUAAUUUAAAUACAUGGACUUCUUCUCAGAAUCUCUAUCACCAUGUGGAUUUCUUAGAAUCUCCACACACCA
ensembl:lncRNA